AUCUGUUGUGUGAACCUGGAGCUGUGUCAACGUGUGGUCUAAGCUGUGCUAUUUGGCCGUUUUAGCUUUUCUAUGACAGCUUGGUGUGGAUUGCAUAGCCUUCUGUUGGAGAGGACAGACACCCAGAUGUUCAUGUGCCUGAAGUGCCCAGGAGACAUCCUGAUCAGUUGCCUGAAGCAGAUUAACUUGCACACAUAAUUCCCCCUGGAAUGAUCAAGCGCUCCACCCCACUCCAACACAGAAGUCAGACAUCUCCAGAGGAAGUCUAUGGCUGCUGGCUGCAUCCACAAUUCCAUUCCUUUGGUGCCUACCCAAAACUCAUGUCGGGAAUCUUCCUCACCUGUUGUCUGCAUCAAUAUACCACUAGACAAAUCCAUGCACCCAUCUCUUGCUCUUCUAUCCAAAUUUUAGUUUUAGGCUACUAGAUAGCCCUGUGACAGACUGGUGAUCUGUCCAGGCUGUACUUCUUGCCCCAUUGCACCUGGGAUAGGCCCCAACCACAUCCCAUGACCCUGAAAUGGAUAAGUGGAAGAGAAUGGAUGGAUACUACAUUUCUCUAAGUUAAACUAAAGCGUUUUAAUGUAGCUUUUGAAAUUUUAUGAGUAGUCAAAUAAUUCUUUCACACU
ensembl:lncRNA